GUACCAGACUGGUCAAAAUGCUAACCGUACUAUAUUAACACACAGAGCUGGUACCAGACAGGUCAAAAUGCUAACCGUACUGUAUUAACACACAGAGCAGGUACCAGACUGGACAAAAUGCUAACCGUACUGUAUUAACACACAGAGCAAGUACCAGACUGGUCAAAAUGCUAACCAUACUAUAUUAACACACAGAGCAGGUACCAGACUGGUCAAAAUGCUAACCGUACUGUAUCAACACACAGAGCAGGUACCAGACUGGUCAAAAUGCUAACUUUACUGUAUUAACACACAGAGCAGGUACCAGACUGGACAAAAUGCUAAUCAUACUGUAUUAACACACAGAGCAGGUACCAGACUGGUCAAAAUGCUAACUUUACUGUAUUAACACACAGAGCAGGUACCAGACUGGACAAAAUGCUAACCGUACUAUAUUAACACACAGAGCAGGUACCAGACUGGACAAAAUGCUAACCGUACUAUAUUAACACACAGAGCAGGUACCAGACUGGUCAAAAUGGUAACCGUACUGUAUUAACACACAGAGCAGGUACCAGACUGGUCAAAAUGCUAACCGUACUGUAUUAACACACAGAGCAGGUACCAGACUGGUCAAAAUGCUAACUUUACUGUAUUAACACACAGAGCAGGUACCAGACUGGACAAAAUGCUAACCGUACUGUAUUAACACACAGAGCAGGUACCAGACAGGUCAAAAUGCUAACCAUACUAUAUUAACACACAGAGCAGGUACCAGACUGGAC
rnacentral:lncRNA from 1 species